UACGGAGGGUGCAAGCGUUAUCCGGAUUCACUGGGCUUAAAGGGUGCGUAGGCGGGCAAGUAAGUCAGUGGUGAAAUCUCCGGGCUUAACCCGGAAACUGCCAUUGAUACUAUUUGUCUUGAAUACUGUGGAGGUCAGCGGAAUAUGUCAUGUAGCGGUGAAAUGCUUAGAUAUGACAUAGAACACCAAUUGCGAAGGCAGCUGGCUGCACAAAUAUUGACACUGAGGCACGAAAGCGUGGGGAUCAAACAGG
rnacentral:rRNA from 1 species